GCAGUCGUCGUCCAACGGUAGGAUCUCGGAGCGCCACUCCGAGGGUGCGGGUUCGAUUCCCGUCGACUGCU
rnacentral:tRNA from 1 species